AGUAAUGUAUGGGGAGUCUGCCCGAUANAGGGGGAGUAACUACUGGAAACGGUGGCUAAUACCGCAUAAUGUCUACGGACCAAAGCAGGGGCUCUUCGGACCUUGCACUAUCGGAUGAACCCAUAUGGGAUUAGCUAGUAGGUGGGGUAAAGGCUCACCUAGGCGACGAUCUCUAGCUGGUCUGAGAGGAUGAUCAGCCACACUGGAACUGAGACACGGUCCAGACUCCUACGGGAGGCAGCAUG
rnacentral:rRNA from 1 species